UAAAAUAUUUUGAGGGAUCUUAUUAAAAUGCAGAUUCUGAUUCAGUAGAUUUGGGACCAAAAUUUCUACAUUUUAACAAACUCCCAGGUGAUGCUGAU
rnacentral:miRNA from 1 species